rnacentral:rRNA from 1 species
GAUGAACGCUGACAGAAUGCUUAACACAUGCAAGUCUACUUGAACUUCGGUUUGGGUGGCGGACGGGUGAGUAACGCAUAAAGAACUUGCCUCACAGUUAGGGACAACAUUUGGAAACGAAUGCUAAUACCUGAUAUUAUGAUUUUAGGGCAUCCUAGGAUUAUGAAAGCUAUAUGUGCUGUGAGAGAGCUUUGCGUCCCAUUAGCUAGUUGGAGAGGUAACGGCUCACCAAGGCGAUGAUGGGUAGCCGGCCUGAGAGGGUGAACGGCCACAAGGGGACUGAGACACGGCCCUUAUUCCUACGGGAGGCAGCAGUGGGGAAUAUUGGACAAUGGACCAAAAGUCUGAUCCAGCAAUUCUGUGUGCACGAUGACGUUUUUCGGAAUGUAAAGUGCUUUCAGUUGGGAAGAAAAAAAUGACGGUACCAACAGAAGAAGUGACGGCUAAAUACGUG